GCUCUUAUUUUCUCUCUCUAUAGAGCACUUCCUUUCCUGUCGAAAAACUCAAAUCUAAUUGCAGAGACACCAUUUCUAGGGUUUUCACUCCCAUUCGAUUUAAUUCCUUCCCCAUUUGCAAGAAAUUUGAGAGAACUUACUGUUUCUUUAUCUCUCUCAUGGUUGUCUUAAUGUUGAUAUUUAUAUGCUUCUAUUUACAGAAUCCUGACCUUCCAUUCUAAUGACUUUCAUAACCAGUGAAUGGCUCGAUUUCACUCUUUCACUCUCUUCCAUUUCGCCAUUUUUGUAACCUAUCUAAUUACGAACCGUAACCUUGUUCUUUCUACUAGUAAGGAGGAUUAUUUCUCGAUAAUUGAUUUCGAUUCCAAUCUAUUUCAUCAAGACUAUUCUCCUCCGUCUCCACCGCCUCCGCCGCCGCAUGCUCCGUCGGUAUCUUGCACCGACGAUCUCGGCGGCAUAGGUUCGUUGGACACUACGUGUCAGAUAAUAUCCGAUGUGAACCUCACCGAUGACGUGUAUAUACAAGGGAAGGGAAAUUUUUACAUCCAUCCCGGGGUGAGUUUUAAUUGUCCUUCUGCUGGUUGUUUUAUAACCGUUAACAUCACCGGAAAUUUCACUUUGUCAAUCAAUGCAUCGAUUGUGACCGGAGGUUUUGAGCUCGUGGCUUAUAAUGCGAGCUUUCUCAAUGGUUCGGCGGUGAACACGACGGGAAUGGCUGGGAAACCUCCAGCGCAGACGAGUGGGACCCCUCAGGGAACAGAAGGAGCGGGAGGGGGGCAUGGAGGGAGGGGUGCUUGUUGUUUAGUGGAUCAUGCGAAGCUGCCGGAGGAUGUUUGGGGAGGGGACGCGUACUCCUGGUCGUCCUUGCAGAAUCCCAGUAGUUAUGGAAGCAAGGGAGGAAGUACAAGUAAGGAGGUGGAUUAUGGUGGACUAGGGGGUGGAAUAUUGAAGUUUACAAUAAUUGAGUAUUUGCUAGUGGAUGGCUACAUAUUGGCGGAUGGAGGUUAUGGGGGUCAAAAAGGAGGCGGUGGCUCUGGUGGCAGCAUCCACUUAAAGGCCCAUAAAAUGAUUGGAAGUGGCAGAAUAAGUGCUUGUGGGGGAAGUGGUUUUGCUGGUGGUGGCGGUGGAAGAGUUGCAGUUGACAUUUUCAGUAGGCAUGAUGACCCUCAAAUUUUUGUGCAUGGAGGAAAUAGUCUUGGCUGUCCAGAAAAUGCAGGUGGUGCUGGGACUUUGUAUGAUGCUGUUCCCCGGAGCCUUAUUGUUAGCAAUCACAAUAUGUCAACAGAUACUGAGACCCUUCUUUUGGACUUUCCUAACCAGCCCCUUUGGACAAAUGUCUAUGUCCGAAAUCUUGCCAGGGCAACUGUACCCUUGCUUUGGAGUCGUGUUCAGGUCCAAGGACAGAUAAGUCUAUUGUGUGGUGGAGUGCUGAGCUUUGGUCUAGCUCAUUAUGCUUCAUCUGAGUUUGAGUUAUUGGCAGAGGAGCUGUUAAUGAGUGACUCUGUAAUCAAGGUAUAUGGGGCUUUACGCAUGACUGUAAAAAUUUUCUUAAUGUGGAAUUCCAAAAUGAUCAUAGAUGGUGGUGAAGAUGCAAGUGUUGCAACUUCUUGGCUUGAGGCUAGUAAUUUAAUUGUUCUCAAGGAAUCAUCUGUCAUACAAUCUAAUGCAAAUCUGGGAGUUCAUGGACAGGGGUUGUUGAAUUUGUCAGGACCUGGUGAUUCAAUCGAAGCUCAACGACUGGUUCUAUCACUAUUUUAUAAUAUUCAUGUUGGACCUGGAUCUGUUUUGCGUGGUCCUCUGAAGAAUGCAACAAAUGAUGCUGUUAGACCAAGGCUCCAUUGUGAACGUGAAGAUUGCCCCCUUGAACUACUUCAUCCUCCUGAAGAUUGCAACGUGAACUCAUCUUUGUCUUUUACCCUUCAGAUUUGCCGAGUGGAGGAUAUCACCGUUGAAGGGCUUAUAAAAGGAUCUGUUGUGCACUUCCAUCGUGCAAGGACUGUAUCUGUUCCGUCUUCUGGAACAAUUAGUGCAUCUGGGAUGGGCUGCACAGGCGGUGUGGGGAGAGGUCAGGUUUUAGAAUAUAGUAUUGGCAGUGGUGGCGGCCAUGGGGGUAAAGGUGGGCGUGGAUGUCACAAUGGUAGCUGUGUUGACGGUGGGAUUGCAUAUGGAAAUGCAGAGUUGCCUUGUGAACUUGGUAGUGGAAGUGGGGAUGAAAAGUCAGCAAAUUCGACUGCAGGCGGUGGCAUCAUAGUAAUGGGCUCAGCGGAACAUCCUUUGUCAAGUUUGUCUGUUGAAGGAUCAGUGAGAGCUGAUGGGGAAAGUUUUGAAGAUAUUGUCAAGCAAGGGGAUUUCACUGUUAUGAAUCACACCAGAGGAGGUCCUGGGGGUGGUUCUGGAGGAACUAUUCUUUUGUUUUUGCAUACACUAGAUCUUGCUGAGUCUGCUGUUGUUUCAAGUGGUGGGGGCUAUGGAAGCCUAAAUGGGAGUGGUGGAGGGGGCGGUGGAAGGAUUCACUUCCACUGGUCAGACAUUCCUACUGGAGAUGUUUACCAGCCCAUUGCUAGUGUAAAAGGAAGCAUCCAAACUAGGGGAGGAAUAGGUAGAGGUGAGGGUCAAGCUGGAGAAAAUGGGACACUGACUGGGAAAGCAUGCCCAAAAGGGCUGUAUGGAGUAUUUUGCCAGGAAUGUCCAGCUGGCACAUAUAAGAAUGUUACUGGAUCUGAUAGAGCUCUUUGCCAUCCUUGCCCUGCCAGUUACCUUCCCCACCGUGCUGUUUAUGUUGCUGUCAGAGGUGGUAUUGCUGAAAUGCCAUGUCCUUACAAAUGCGUCUCAGACAGAUUUCAUAUGCCACAUUGUUACACAGCCCUUGAAGAGUUGAUUUACACAUUUGGUGGGCCAUGGCUAUUUUGUCUGCUUCUCCUGGCUCUUCUCAUCCUCUUAGCCCUGGUGCUUAGUGUUGCCCGGAUGAAAUUUAUUGGAGUUGAUGAAUUGCCAGGCCCAGCUCCCACUCAGCAUGGCUCUCAAAUCGAUCACUCUUUCCCAUUCCUCGAAUCUUUAAAUGAGGUUUUGGAAACAAAUAGAGCUGAGGAGUCUCAAAGUCAUGUGCACAGAAUGUAUUUUAUGGGUCCAAAUACUUUUAGUCAACCUUGGCAUCUUCCACAUACUCCACCUGAGCAAAUAAAAGAGAUAGUAUAUGAGGGUGCAUACAAUACAUUUGUAGAUGAGAUCAAUGCUUUAACUGCUUAUCAAUGGUGGGAGGGUGCCAUGUACAGCAUUCUUUCUGUUCUGUCAUAUCCCCUAGCAUGGUCAUGGCAGCAAUGGCGCCGGCGAAUCAAAUUGCAAAGAUUGCGCGAGUUUGUUCGAUCAGAAUAUGAUCAUGCUUGCUUACGCUCUUGUCGUUCACGGGCACUUUAUGAAGGACUCAAGGUAGCUGCAACUCCUGACUUAAUGCUUGCAUAUCUCGACUUCUUCCUUGGUGGGGACGAAAAGAGAACAGAUCUUCCUCCUCGCUUACAUCAAAGGUUUCCAAUGUCUAUAAUAUUUGGAGGUGAUGGAAGUUACAUGGCUCCUUUCUCAAUUCAAAGUGAUAAUAUUCUUACUAGCCUUAUGGGCCAGAUGGUCCCUCCUACCACUUGGUAUCGUAUGGUAGCCGGUUUGAAUGCACAGCUGCGCCUAGUUCGCCGUGGGCGGUUACGUGUAACAUUUCGGUCUGUCAUUAGAUGGCUUGAAACUCAUGGUAAUCCUGCUUUGAGAAUCCAUGGGAUAAGGGUUGAUCUUGCAUGGUUUCAGGCCACAGCUUCUGGUUAUUGCCAAUAUGGACUUUUGGUUUACAGCACCGAAGAAGAAACUAUUGAAAGUACUGAUGGUGCCAAACAAAAUGACGAACGCAGUUUGAAGAUUGCUUACAGAGGAAAUCCAUCUGGUCGUUUGGGAGCAGAUGCACUCUCAAGCCAAGCCCCCAGAAGCAGUGAAAAUUAUGUAAGGCGGAAAAAGAGUUAUGGGGCGAGUUUAGAUACUAACAGUUUACAUAUGCUUGAAGAGAAGAGAGAUAUAUUUUGUCUUCUCUCUUUCAUAAUUCAUAAUACUAAACCUGUUGGCCACCAGGAUCUUGUUGGUUUGGUCAUAUCAAUGCUACUACUAGGAGAUUUUAGCUUAGUGUUGCUUACUUUGCUCCAAUUGUAUUCAAUUUCAUUGGUAGAUGUCUUUCUGGUUUUGUUUAUUUUACCUCUCGGUAUUCUUCUGCCAUUUCCUGCUGGAAUCAAUGCUUUAUUUAGUCAUGGGCCAAGACGUUCUGCUGGCCUUGCUCGUAUCUACGCAUUGUGGAAUAUUACGUCCUUGAUUAAUGUUAUUGUUGCAUUUAUUUGUGGAUAUAUUCAUUAUCACAAUCAAUCUUCCUCGAGUAAAAAGUUCCCGUUUCAGCCAUGGAGUAUUAGCAUGGACGAAAGCGAAUGGUGGAUGUUUCCAGCUGGACUGGUUCUGUGUAAGAUUUUACAAUCGCAACUUGUUAAUUGGCAUGUUGCAAAUUUGGAGAUUCAAGACCGAUCACUGUACAGUAAUGAUUUUGAUCUCUUCUGGCAGUCAUGAUAAAAUGUCAAAGGCAUUCCACAUUGAGGAGCUUCUUCUUUUGUUCUUGUUUUGUAUGUUUUUUCGGAGUACUAGAGAAAUGGUUGACAUAGAAGUAGAAAUAGGAAUUAGGGGCAAAAAAAAAAAAAAAAAAAAAGAAAAAGAAAAAAGGAAGAAAGAUAAAAUAGAGUGAGAGCAUUCAUUUCUUUUGAACAAUGUGCAGUCAGGAUUUUUUAACUCCUGUAUUCCUUUUGCCGUAUAAUGCCAAUGUAAAUAUCAAGGGGGUUAACACCCAAUCGAAAUAGAGAUCCAUUCCAGUUUGAGCA